GACAACAGGAGAGAGAGAGAGAGGUAGUCUGUAUGUAGAUCAGACAACAGGAGAGAGAGAGAGAGGUAGUCUGUAUGUAGAUCAGACAACAGGAGAGAGAGAGAGAGAGGUAGUCUGUAUGUAGAUCAGACAACAGGAGAGAGAGAGGUAGUCUGUAUGUAGAUCAGACAACAGGAGAGAGAGAGAGGUAGUCUGUAUGUAGAUCAGACAACAGGAGAGAGAGAGAGGUAGUCUGUAUGUAGAUCAGACAACAGGAGAGAGAGAGGUAGUCUGUAUGUAGAUCAGACAACAGGAGAGAGAGAGAGGUAGUCUGUAUGUAGAUCAGACAACAGGAGAGAGAGAGAGGUAGUCUGUAUGUAGAUCAGACAACAGGAGAGAGAGAGG